GCUGGGGUGGCGGAAUUGGUAUACGCGCCAGUCUUAGGAACUGGUGCCGCAAGGCUUGGAGGUUCGAGUCCUCUCCCCAGCA
rnacentral:tRNA from 2 species